CACUUUUAAAUCUAUCAAUUUUAAAUAUCGAUAGGGUAAGUGUGGGUAUUACUGCAGUUUUUUUCGUAAGUCUCACUUCGAAAGCAUUUUUAUAAAAUUUUCUCAAGAUAAUAAUAACUUUUUUUUUUAAACAAAAGUUUGACUCAUUAUUAACCCAAAAUAAAAUCAACAAUGAGAGAAACAAAUAUUUUCGUUAAAUAAUAAGCAUUUAAAAAGAAGUCUAAAUGCAUGU